CCCGUAUGCAUGUAAGUGUAUGCAUGUAAGUACGGUUGGCCCAAAGACGAAUUCUUGCAAGAUUUGGGAAACAGAGUGAAACAGUAUCUAUUCCUCUCUCAAGGUCUUUGUAGUUUGCUGUGACAACACAUGCAGACACCUGGAGGGUUCUAGCAUGUCCUGGCCCUCCCCCACUUCACACCCAGAUCUUCCAAAUUUCCAGCACAGCUGAUCAACAGUAGCCACACACCCAUCACAAGGGCCUUAACAUGGAUCCAAAGAGGCAGUAGCCAGGCAAAGACAAAAGCUUUUCACCGAGUAUUCUUCCAGCUUUCUUUCAGGGUCCCCCUCCUGGAUGUGGCAGGCCUCCCAGAUUCCCCUGGAAGUUCUGACUUGCCCAUACACACAAGGACCUCAGGAAACCCAAUAGUGACUUUCCUCAGAUCUGUGAAUUCCUUCUUCUGGAAAAUAACCUUCUCAACAAUUGUCUCACAUGGAGUUCCAUCAGUGAGUCCCACCGGGUCUACCUAGAAGCUGUAUCCAGAAUCUGGUCACUGCACAACAUCUCCUCUGCUUCCUCCCUGCUUUGAGGCACCAUUGAAUCUCUCUUGGUUGAAGGCAGUAACCUUCUAACUGGUCUCCGCUUGCAUCCCUUCCCACCUAUGUCUGUUCUCAACAUAGCUGCCAGCGUGAUCACGGCCCUUCUCUACUUAAAAUCCUCCAAAACACUCCAUGUUGCAUAAAGGGCAAGAUGUCUUUAAAAUGCGAAAGAGGCACUUCUGGAGCACUCUCUGCCACAUCUGACCUCAAUUUGUGCCCCUUUCCGUCUUAUUUACUCUGUUCCAGCCACACUGCCCUCCUGGAUUCUGUAAACAUUCCAAGCAUGCUGCCACCUCCAGGCAUUUGCACUGGCUGAUCCCUCUGCUUUGAAUGCUCUUGCUUUACUCCAAUGGCAUCCUCUCAGUGAGGGCUACUCUAUCCACUUUAUAGAAAACCAUGUACCUUCCCUGUACUCUGC
rnacentral:lncRNA from 1 species